UGUAUUAAAAUGAUAAAUGAAAAAGAGACUCAAUAUUGAAACCUAAUAUUACCUCAUGAUAUGCUGAUGUAC